UACGGAGGGUGCAAGCGUUAUCCGGAUUCACUGGGUUUAAAGGGUGCGUAGGCGGGCAGGUAAGUCCGUGGUGAAAUCUCCGAGCUUAACUCGGAAACUGCCAUGGAUACUAUUUGUCUUGAAUGUUGUGGAGGUGAGCGGAAUAUGUCAUGUAGCGGUGAAAUGCUUAGAUAUGACAUAGAACACCAAUUGCGAAGGCAGCUCACUACACAAAUAUUGACGCUGAGGCACGAAAGCGUGGAGAUCAAACAGG
rnacentral:rRNA from 1 species